rfam:Bradyrhizobium manausense strain BR3351 contig2112, whole genome shotgun sequence.
ACAAGAAUCCGGGCCCCUCUGGCGAGGACGCUGACCCUCUCAGCAAAACCUCGCGAUGUCGGAUGACCUGU